GACGAACGCUGGCGGCGUGCUUAACACAUGCAAGUCGAACGCUGAAGCUUGGUGCUUGCACUGGGUGGAUGAGUGGCGAACGGGUGAGUAAUACGUGAGUAACCUGCCCUUGACUUUGGGAUAAGCCUGGGAAACUGGGUCUAAUACUGGAUAUGACAUGCCACUGCAUGGUGGUGUGUGGAAAGGGUUUUACUGGUUUUGGAUGGGCUCACGGCCUAUCAGCUUGUUGGUGGGGUAAUGGCCUACCAAGGCGACGACGGGUAGCCGGCCUGAGAGGGUGACCGGCCACACUGGGACUGAGACACGGCCCAGACUCCUACGGGAGGCAGCAGUGGGGAAUAUUGCACAAUGGGCGGAAGCCUGAUGCAGCGACGCCGCGUGAGGGAUGACGGCCUUCGGGUUGUAAACCUCUUUCAGCACGGAAGAAGCGAGAGUGACGGUACGUGCAGAAGAAGCGCCGGCUAACUACGUG
rnacentral:rRNA from 1 species